rnacentral:rRNA from 1 species
UACGUAGGGUGCAAGCGUUGUCCGGAAUUAUUGGGCGUAAAGAGCUCGUAGGCGGUCUGUCGCGUCGGCUGUGAAAACCCGGGGCUCAACCCCGGGCCUGCAGUCGAUACGGGCAGACUAGAGUGCGGUAGGGGAGACUGGAAUUCCUGGUGUAGCGGUGAAAUGCGCAGAUAUCAGGAGGAACACCGGUGGCGAAGGCGGGUCUCUGGGCCGUAACUGACGCUGAUGCACGAAAGUGUGGGGAUCAAACAGG